rnacentral:rRNA from 1 species
GAUGAACGCUGGCGGCGUGCCUAAUACAUGCAAGUCGAGCGGACAGACGAGGAGCUUGCUCCUCUGACGUUAGCGGCGGACGGGUGAGUAACACGUGGAUAACCUACCUAUAAGACUGGGAUAACUUCGGGAAACCGGAGCUAAUACCGGAUAAUAUAUUGAACCGCAUGGUUCAAUAGUGAAAGUCGGUUUUGCUGUCUCUUAUAGAUGGAUCCGCGCCGCAUUAGCUAGUUGGUAAGGUAACGGCUUACCAAGGCGACGAUGCGUAGCCGACCUGAGAGGGUGAUAGGCAAAACGGGAACGGAGACACGGUCAAGACACCUACGGGAGGCAGCAGUAGGGAAUCUGCCGCAAGGGGCGAAAGCAUGACGGAGCAACGCCGCGUGAGUGAUGAAGGUCUUCGGAUCGUAAAACACUGUUAUUAGGGAAGAACAAAUGUGUAAGUAACUAUGCACGUCUUGACGGUACCUAAUCAGAAAGCCACGGCUAACUACGUG